rnacentral:rRNA from 1 species
CCUACGGGAGGCAGCAGUGGGGAAUCUUGCGCAAUGGGCGAAAGCCUGACGCAGCAACGCCGCGUGCGGGAUGAAGGCUCUCGGGUUGUAAACCGCUUUCAGCAGGAACGAAAAUGACGGUACCUGCAGAAGAAGGUGCGGCCAACUACGUGCCAGCAGCCGCGGUGACACGUAGGCACCAAGCGUUGUCCGGAUUUAUUGGGCGUAAAGAGCUCGUAGGCGGUUCGGUAAGUCGGGUGUGAAAACUUUGGGCUUAACCCAAAGCGUGCACCCGAUACUGCUGUGACUAGAGUUCGGUAGGGGAGCGGGGAAUUCCUAGUGUAGCGGUGAAAUGCGCAGAUAUUAGGAGGAACACUGGUGGCGAAGGCGCCGCUCUGGGCCGAUACUGACGCUGAGGAGCGAAAGCGUGGGUAGCAAACAGGAUUAGAUACCCUGGUAGU